rnacentral:tRNA from 1 species
GGUGAGAUGGCCGAGCGGUCUAAGGCGCCAGACUAAGGUAUAUGUAAUCUGGUCCGUGUAGGGCGUGGGUUCGAAUCCCACUCUCAUCA